GACGUAGGGUGCGAGCGUUGUCCGGAUUUAUUGGGCGUAAAGAGCUCGUAGGCGGCUCGUCGCGUCGACCGUGAAAACCCGCGGCUUAACUGCGGGCUUGUGGUUGAUACGGGCGGGCUAGAGUUCGGUAGGGGAGACUGGAAUUCCUGGUGUAGCGGUGAAAUGCGCAGAUAUCAGGAGGAACACCGGUGGCGAAGGCGGGUCUCUGGGCCGAUGACUGACGCUGAGGAGCGAAAGCGUGGGGAGCGAACAGG
rnacentral:rRNA from 1 species